GGCGCCCGAGCCGCCCUCCACGCAACGGACUACAGAGCCAAUUAGGCUGGGGUGGAGGAGCGCUAACAAGAGGGACUGGAGUUUCUAACCAAACCUGUAGCGCCUGGAGCCAACUUGAGUUUGAAGUCAGCUAGGACUGGGUCUGUAAGUGAAGCUGUACAUGAAGUGCGAGAGACCGAGGACAAACUGGAAACAUAUUUGCCUCCCAUGGCCUCCAGUUUUGAUGAGGCAGAUGACCUGCAGGAUAAGAUGACUCUCUUGACCCUGGAGCUGAACCACAGCCAGAAUCAGAGAAGCUGAACAAGACCUGGAGGAACUUAGAAGCCUCCAUUCUGUCCUACAACAAGUAAAAAGCUGAACAGACUGAAAAAUCAACUCUUCUAGGAUCCAUAAGAGAGGUGGGUAAAUGGUUGGAGAAAAAUAUACCACGCUAACACUAGUCAAAAGAAAGCAAGACUAGCUAUAUUAAUUUCGUGCAGAGCAAACUUUAAAGUAAGGAACGUUAGGGAUGCCCUCUUUAGAGGGCAUUGCCUAUUGAUAAAGGAGUCAAUCCUUGUAGAAGAAAUAACAAUCCUUAACAUAUAUGUUCCUAACAACAGAGUGUCAAAAUACAUGAGGCAAAAACUGCCUUUAUCAGAAAUAGAUCCAAUAGGUAGAAAAAUCAGUAGGGACAUAGUUGAACUCAAUAAUCCAUCAAUCCAUUGGAUAUAACUGACAUCUACAGACCAUUUCAUCAAAAAAUAGUAGAUUACACAUUCUUUGCAAGCACAUAUGGAACAUUCACUGAGACAGACCACAUUCUGGGCUAUAUUUGUUAACAUGACUUAACAAAUUUAAAAGAAUAGAGAUCAUUCAAUAUCUGCUCUCAGACCACAAUGGAAGUCAUAAUAAUAGAAAGAUGAUUGGAAAAUUCCAAAAUAUGUACAGAAUCAAACAAUGUACUUUUAAAUAACACAUGGAUCAGAGAAGAAAUCUCAAGAGAAAUUUAAAAUAUUUUGAACUAGAUGAAAAUAAAAACACAAUUUAUCAAAAUUUGUGAGAUGCAACAAAAGUAGUGCUUUGAAUGAAAUUUAUAGCACUGAACGCAUACAUUAGAAAGAAGAAAGAUGGAAAAUAAAAAGUCUAAGUUUUUACUGUAAGAAACUAGA